rnacentral:tRNA from 1 species
AAUGAUGAGCCUGAAUUUAAAGGAAUAUCGUGAUAGGAUAUAUUAUGUGGACAACCCAAACCCACCUUCAUUA